AGAUGGCGACCGGCGCACGGGUGAGUAACACGUAUCCAACCUGCCGAUAACUCGGGGAUAGCCUUUCGAAAGAAAGAUUAAUACCCGAUGGUAUAAUCAGACCGCAUGGUCCUGUUAUUAAAGAAUUUCGGUUAUCGAUGGGGAUGCGUUCCAUUAGGCAGUUGGUGAGGUAACGGCUCACCAAACCUUCGAUGGAUAGGGGUUCUGAGAGGAAGGUCCCCCACAUUGGAACUGAGACACGGUCCAA
rnacentral:rRNA from 1 species